AUUGAACGCUGGCGGCAGGCCUAACACAUGCAAGUCGAACGAGUGGCGGACGGGUGAGUAAUGUGUGGGGAACUGCCCGAUAGAGGGGGAUAACUACUGGAAACGGUAGCUAAUACCGCAUACCAUCGGAUGUGCCCAGAUGGGAUUAGCUCGUAGGUGAGGUAACGGCUAACCUAGGCGACGAUCCCUAGCUGGUCUGAGAGGAUGACCAGACACACUGGAACUGAGAAACGGUCCAGACUCCUACGGGAGGCAGCAGUGGGGAAUAUUGCACAAUGGGCGCAAGCCUGAUGCAGCCAUGCCGCGUGUAUGAAGAAGGCCGUCGGGUUGUAAAGUACUUUCAGCGGGGAGGCGUUACCCGCAGAAGAAGCACCGGCUAACUCCGUGCCAGCCGCCGCGGUAAUAC
rnacentral:rRNA from 1 species